rnacentral:rRNA from 1 species
UACAGAGGUCCCGAGCGUUGUUCGGAUUCACUGGGCGUAAAGGGUGCGCAGGUGGGUUGGCAAGUUCGAUGUGAAAGCCCCGGGCUUAACCCGGGAAUGGCAUUGGAUACUGCUGAUCUGGAGGAUCGGAGGGGGGACUGGAAUUCUUGGUGUAGCAGUGAAAUGCGUAGAUAUCAAGAGGAACACCAGUGGCGAAGGCGAGUCCCUGGACGAUACCUGACACUGAGGCACGAAAGCCGGGGGAGCAAACAGG